UGGAGCAAGCGAGGGAGCCCGAGAGGGCUGAGAGGCCCGGACGGUCGAGAGAUCGUCUGGACGACCCCCAGCUACCUGAUCCGGACAAUGCCGGCGAAGGGAAAUUGUUCUACAGGUCC
rnacentral:ncRNA from 1 species